CUCGUAGGUGGUUCAGCAAGUCAACUGUGAAAGUCCGGGGCUCAACCCCGGGAGGCCAGUCGAAACUGCUGUGACUAGGGUCCGGUAGAGGUGAGUGGAAUUCUCGGUGUAGCGGUGAAAUGCGCAGAUAUCGAGAGGAACACCAGUAGCGAAGGCGGCUCACUGGGCCGGUACCGACACUGAGGAGCGAAAGCGUGGGGAGCAAACA
rnacentral:rRNA from 1 species